UACGGAGGAUCCGAGCGUUAUCCGGAUUUAUUGGGUUUAAAGGGAGCGUAGGUGGAUUGUUAAGUCAGUUGUGAAAGUUUGCGGCUCAACCGUAAAAUUGCCGUUGAAACUGGAAGACUUGAGUGUGUUUGAGGUAGGCGGAAUGCGUGGUGUAGCGGUGAAAUGCAUAGAUAUCACACAGAACACCGAUUGCGAAGGCAUCUCACGAAUCCGCGAUUGACGCUGAUGCACGAAAGCGUGGGUAUCAAACAGG
rnacentral:rRNA from 1 species